CCCUUCUUAGCUCAGUGGUAGAGCGCGUCACUCGUAUUGUCCUCUCUUCUAAGGAGAAACCGUACCAUGACGAGGUCGCUUGUUCGAUCCAGGCAGGAGGCA